rnacentral:rRNA from 1 species
UGGGGAAUAUUGCACAAUGGGCGCAAGCCUGAUGCAGCCAUGCCGCGUGUGUGAAGAAGGCCUUCGGGUUGUAAAGCACUUUCAGCGAGGAGGAAGGUGGUGAGCUUAAUACGCUCAUCAAUUGACGUUACUCGCAGAAGAAGCACCGGCUAACUCCGUGCCAGCAGCCGCGGUAAUACGGAGGGUGCAAGCGUUAAUCGGAAUUACUGGGCGUAAAGCGCACGCAGGCGGUUUGUUAAGUCAGAUGUGAAAUCCCCGGGCUCAACCUGGGAACUGCAUUUGAAACUGGCAAGCUAGAGUCUCGUAGAGGGGGUAGAAUUCCAGGUGUAGCGGUGAAAUGCGUAGAGAUCUGGAGGAAUACCGGUGGCGAAGGCGGCCCCCUGGACGAAGACUGACGCUCAGGUGCGAAAGCGUGGGGAGCAAAACAGGAUUAGAUACCCUGGUAGUCCACGCUGUAAAACGAUGUCGA